CCCACCCCGGCACCGAGCUAGGCCCAAGGGGGGAGGCGGAUAGCAGAAAGAGCUGCUUCUUGCCACUGAGGAUCUUAUAAGGUAGCUGGGAAUGGAAGAGCCACAUUUUAAAGAUCACUAACCACAUUCAGCAGGAAAUCAACAGAGGAAAUCAGCACCUUUUGAACAAGAGGCCAGAGGAGAUGCAUUCUCCUUCACCACAGAGGCCUACCCACUUCAUCCCUCUAGUUUUGUGCAGUGGUCUUGGGAGACACACACUUCCUUCUCCCAGAGGAGUUGCUCUGAGCUGUGGAAGCCCCCUGGAGAGCCUCACGCCUCUCCUGAUGGAGCCCAGGUAGCCAAAGCUGCUCUCCGUGGCCUAUAAACCAGUUUUAGAAAAGGAAAAUCUGGACACAAAGAUGGGCAGAGGAAAGAUGAUAUGUGAAGACACAGGGAGGAGACGGUGGCCGUCUCCAAGCCCAAGAGAGAGGCCUCAGAGGAAACCAGCC